rnacentral:rRNA from 1 species
UGGGGAAUUUUGGACAAUGGGCGAAAGCCUGAUCCAGCAACGCCGCGUGAGGGACGACGGCCUUCGGGUUGUAAACCUCUUUUAGUAGGGAAGAAGCGAAAGUGACGGUACCUGCAGAAAAAGCACCGGCUAACUACGUGCCAGCAGCCGCGGUAAUACGUAGGGUGCGAGCGUUGUCCGGAAUUAUUGGGCGUAAAGAGCUCGUAGGCGGUCUGUCGCGUCUGCUGUGAAAACCCGAGGCUCAACCUCGGGCCUGCAGUGGGUACGGGCAGACUAGAGUGCGGUAGGGGAGAAUGGAAUUCCUGGUGUAGCGGUGGAAUGCGCAGAUAUCAGGAGGAACACCGAUGGCGAAGGCAGUUCUCUGGGCCGUAACUGACGCUGAGGAGCGAAAGCGUGGGGAGCGAACAGGAUUAGAUACCCUGGUAGUCCACGCCGUAAACGUUGGGCGCUAGAUGUGGGGACCAUUCCACGGUUUCCGUGUCGCAGCUAACGCAUUAAGCGCCCCGCCUGGGGAGUACGGCCGCAAGGCUAAAACUCAAAUGAAUUGACGGGGUCAUAGCUG